CGCACAUUGCGCCCUUUGGUAUUCCGAAGGGCAUGCCUGUUCGAGCGUCAUUAUCACCCCUCAAACCCCGUGUUUGCUGUUGGACCCCGAGUCCCGCGAGAGCGUGGACUGGCCCCAAAGAUAAUGACGGCGUCCGUGUGGACCCCCGGUGCAACGAGCUUUUCUUUUUGAAGCACGCGUCGUGAGGGAACCGCGGUUCGGCCGGUCUGACACCUUUUUACUUCUAAGGUUGACCUCGGAUCAGGUAGGAAUACCCGCUGAACUUAA
rnacentral:misc_RNA from 1 species